rnacentral:tRNA from 1 species
GGUUCCUUAACUCAAUUGGUCAGAGCGUCCAGCUCAUAACUGGAAUUAUGUUGGUUCAAGGCCAUCAGGAAUCA